rnacentral:tRNA from 1 species
GCUGGUGUAGCUCAAUAGGCAGAGCAACUGAUUUGUAAUCAGUAGGUUGUGAGUUCAACUCUCUCCACCAGCU